rnacentral:tRNA from 1 species
GGGUGUAGCUCAAUGGUAAGAGUGUAUUCUUAGCAUGAAUCAGGUCCUGGGUUCAAUCCCCAGUACCAACA